GGGCCUGUAGUUCAGCGGUUAGAACCCUCCGCUCAUAACGGAGUUGUCGUAAGUUCGAGUCUUACCGGGCCCACCA
rnacentral:tRNA from 1 species